rnacentral:tRNA from 1 species
UCCUCCAUAGCUCAGUGGUUAGAGCGUCCCAACCGGCACCUGGAAGGUCAUGGGUUCGAUUCCCGUUGGGGGAG